UAGAGCCUACGGGGCGCAGCAGUGGGGAAUAUUGCACAAUGGGGGAAACCCUGAUGCAGCAACGCCGCGUGAAGGAAGACGGUUUUCGGAUUGUAAACUUCUGUUCUUAGUGAAGAAAAAUGACGGUAGCUAAGGAGCAAGCCACGGCUAACUACGUGCCAGCAGCCGCGGUAAUACGUAGGUGGCAAGCGUUGUCCGGAAUUACUGGGUGUAAAGGGAGCGCAGGCGGGAAGCACAGUCAGCUGGGAAAACUACGGGCUUAACUUGUAGACUGCAGUUGAAACUGGGUUUCUUGAGUGAAGGAG
rnacentral:rRNA from 1 species